ACGGAAGGCAGCAGUGGGGAAUAUUGCACAAUGGGCGAAAGCCUGAUGCAGCGACGCCGCGUGGGUGAUGAAGUAUUUCGGUACGUAAAGCCCUAUCAGCAGGGAAGAUAAUGACGGUACCUGACUAAGAAGCCCCGGCUAAAUACGUGCCAGCAGCCGCGGUAAUACGUAUGGGGCAAGCGUUAUCCGGAUUUACUGGGUGUAAAGGGAGCGCAGGCGGUUAUGCAAGUCUGGUGUGAAAACCCGGGGCUCAACUCCGGGAGUGCACCGGAAACUGUGUAACUAGAGUAUCGGAGGGGCAAGCGGAAUUCCUAGUGUAGCGGUGAAAUGCGUAGAUAUUAGGAGGAACACCAGUGGCGAAGGCGGCUUGCUGGACGAAAACUGACGCUGAGGCUCGAAAGCGUGGGGAGCAAACAGGAUUAGAUACCCUGGUA
rnacentral:rRNA from 1 species